CUUUCUGAGUUUGACCUCGAAUCAGGUAGGAUUACCCGCUGAACUUAAGCAUAUCAAUAAGCGGAGGAAAAGAAACCAACAGGGAUUGCCCUAGUAACGGCGAGUGAAGCGGCAACAGCUCAAAUUUGAAAUCUGGCCCUCGGGUCCGAGUUGUAAUUUGUAGAGGAUGUUUUUGGUGAGGUACCUUCCGAGUUCCCUGGAACGGGACGCCAUAGAGGGUGAGAGCCCCGUCUGGUUGGAUACCGAUCCUCUGUAAAACUCCUUCAACGAGUCGAGUAGUUUGGGAAUGCUGCUCUAAAUGGGAGGUAUAUGUCUUCUAAAGCUAAAUAUUGGCCAGAGACCGAUAGCGCACAAGUAGAGUGAUCGAAAGAUGAAAAGCACUUUGAAAAGAGAGUUAAAAAGUACGUGAAAUUGUUGAAAGGGAAGCGCUUAUGACCAGACUUGGACUUGGUUGAUCAUCCUGGGUUCUCCCUGGUGCACUCUUCCAGUUCAGGCCAGCAUCAGUUCGUCGCGGGGGAUAAAGGCUUCGGGAAUGUGGCUCCCUCGGGAGUGUUAUAGCCCGUUGUGUAAUACCCUGCUUUGGACUGAGGUUCGCGCAUCUGCAAGGAUGCUGGCGUAAUGGUCAUCAGCGACCCGUCUUGAAACACGGACCAAGGAGUCGUCUUCGUAUGCGAGUGUUCGGGUGUUAAACCCCUACGCGUAAUGAAAGUGAACGCAGGUGAGAGCUUCGGCGCAUCAUCGACCGAUCCUGAUGUUCUCGGAUGGAUUUGAGUAAGAGCAUACGGGGCCGGACCCGAAAGAAGGUGAACUAUGCUUGUAUAGGGUGAAGCCAGAGGAAACUCUGGUGGAGGCUCGCAGCGGUUCUGACGUGCAAAUCGAUCGUCAAAUAUGAGCAUGGGGGCGAAAGACUAAUCGAACCUUCUAGUAGCUGGUUUCCGCCGAAGUUUCCCCUCAGA
rnacentral:rRNA from 1 species